GACGAACGCUGGCGGCGUGCUUAACACAUGCAAGUCGAACGGGCCUUGUCCCCUUUUUUUUGAGGGUGGGGUUAGUGGCGCACGGGUGAGUAACACGUGAGUAACCUGCCCCUCACUUCUGGAUAACCGCUUGAAAGGGUGGCUAAUACGGGGUGUUCUGGCCUGCUCGCAUGGGUGGGUCUGGAAAGAUUCGACCGGUUUUGGUUGUUUUGGUGGGGGAUGGGCUCGCGGCCUAUCAGCUUGUUGGUGGGGUGAUGGCCUGCCAAGGCUUUGACGGGUAGCCGGCCUGAGAGGGUGAGCGGUCACACUGGGACUGAGACACGGCCCAGACUCCUACGGGAGGCAGCAGUGGGGAAUAUUGCACGAUGGGCGCAAGCCUGAUGCAGCGACGCCGCGUGAGGGAUGGAGGCCUUCGGGUUGUGAACCUCUUUCGCCAGUGAAGAAGGUCCUGCUCUUUGUGGUGGGGUUGACGGUAGCUGGGUUAAUGAAGCGCCGGCUAACUACGUG
rnacentral:rRNA from 1 species